UAGAUACCCUGGUAGUCCAUGCCGUAAACGAUGAGCGCUAGGUGUUGGGGACUUUCCGGUCCUCAGUGCCGCAGCAAACGCAUUAAGCGCUCCGCCUGGGGAGUACGACCGCAAGGUUGAAACUCAAAGGAAUUGACGGGGGCCCGCACAAGCGGUGGAGCAUGUGGUUUAAUUCGAAGCAACGCGAAGAACCUUACCAGGUCUUGACAUCCUGUGCUACACCUAGAGAUAGGUGGUUCCUUCGGGGACG
rnacentral:rRNA from 1 species